AGUGAACGCUAGCGGUAGGCCUAACACAUGCAAGUCGAACGGCAGCACAGGAGAGCUUGCUCUCUGGGUGGCGAGUGGCGGACGGGUGAGGAAUACAUCGGAAUCUACUUUUUCGUGGGGGAUAAAGUAGGGAAACUUACGCUAAUACCGCAUACGACCUACGGGUGAAAGCAGGGGACCUUCGGGCCUUGCGCGAUUGAAUGAGCCGAUGUCGGAUUAGCUAGUUGGCGGGGUAAAGGCCCACCAAGGCGACGAUCCGUAGCUGGGCUGAGAGGAUGAUCAGCCACACUGGAACUGAGACACGGUCCAGACUCCUACGGGAGGCAGCAGUGGGGAAUAUUGGACAAUGGGCGCAAGCCUGCUCCAGCCAUACCGCGUGGGUGAAGAAGGCCUUCGGGUUGUAAAGCCCUUUUGUUGGGAAAGAAAUCCAGCUGGCUAAUACCCGGUUGGGAUGACGGUACCCAAAGAAUAAGCACCGGCUAACUUCGUGCCAGCCGCCGCCGUAA
rnacentral:rRNA from 1 species